UGCGGGUAGAGAGACGUCUAACAAGAGAAAAUUUUUUUAGUCGCGACGAAACUAAGUACCUUUAUUUCUUCGAAAACUUCGUCAUUUCAAGUUUGGGAUCGGUAUCUAACGAUAAUAACAGAUAAAUAUAACACGCUAACAAUCGUUGACUUAACCUAUUACCAAAAACGUCCCGAUGGAAAUCUUAGGCGUCCAUCUUCUAAAGACGUUUGUCUUUCGUUUUACUCCCGUUUAAUUAGAAACAUUCAUACCACCUACCAACCCGUUUAUCCGGUGACCUUCUACAGGUAUCAGUAUACGGACGUAAUGUAGCUGAACUACGAUGAUAAAUGAGAGUUCUUGUAGACAUUCAUACAUACACUCUAUCGUUCGUUACAACCUACGGGAGUGAUAAAUGAAAGAUAACCGUAUAUCCUGAUACACGAACAGGUCAUUUGUGUAGAGGUCAAAGGAUAAUUAAGAAACCAUGUUUACCUUAUGUACAUCGUGAAACAUUUACAAAGGAAUACUUUAUAGUAUGACAUUGUAGUACAAGAUAAAUCAGGGAUCUUCGUUAUGAACCAAAGUUGAAACUUUCUGCUUUACUUAAGGAGAUACCCCGCAGACUUGUUUUUCUCCGUAGAAGGAGCAGGCCAGUGAUUCUAUUAAAGCCAGUGAAUAGACUUGUUUUUCCCAAGACCAGAGAAUUACUUUAACCCCCAGGUAACUCCCGAAGUCACUGUUGUGGCCGCAGCGACGCAUGUUCAGGAACUAGAUAGAAGCGUUAUAUAGUUACAACCACAGAGAGAAGAGGUACGGAGAUUAUCAAGUACCUUCAUUGACGUAUUGGUUUAACUAAUUCUGAUGGACGUAGCACACUAAAUUAGUUAACUUAAAUUAACUGAACUAAAGGAGAUAAUACAACAACAAGAGAGUUAACUCCAACCGACUGGUACGAAGAUGGGAUAGGGGAUCCUAAAAAAUCUCGUGACUUCUACACAAACACCAUCUGUCCUUUGAUGUACGUCUGAUUUGAAGUUCUAACACGUUGACUAUAACUUGUGGUGCAAGAUUAGGACUGAGAGAUCGGAAACUUGGAAGAGUUGAUGAUUGAUGCGGGGUUAGGUCGUAAAUAAAAAGUCCGAUUGUUUCCGCUGUUACUAAGUGGAUCACCUACUCCUUCGUAUUUCUACUCUCAUUUCAACCCAGGUAGGAGAUAUUCCUUCGUUUAUUUUCCUGAUGUCAGUGUUCCUUGUUACUUCGGUCGAUAGAUGCAGUUGAUCUACAAAAUCGAAAUUAAAACAUGUUGACUACAGAAUAUGAACGUAGAAAAUCGAUAGGAAAACACUUGGACUACAUACCAUAAAACCACCAAUAUAAUCUUGUCUGGUUUCACAUACAUACACUGUUAAUCAAGUACCUUAUUUUUACAAACCACGAGGACC
rnacentral:rRNA from 1 species